rnacentral:rRNA from 1 species
UUCCGGUUGAUCCUGCCGGACCCCACUGCUAUCGAGAUGGGACUAAGGUAUGCUAGUCGAACGACCAGAACUAUGUCUGGAAGUGGCACACUGCUCAGUAACACGUAGCUAACCUACCCUUAGGACGUGGAUACCCCCGAGAAAUUGGGGUUAAUCCGCGAUAGGUGUAAUGUCCUGGAAUGGUAUUACGCCUAAAGGUGUAUCAUACAUGUUUGAUAUACGCCUAAGGAUGGGGCUGCGGCCGAUCAGGCUGUUGGUGAGGUAAUGGCUCACCAAACCUUUGACCGGUACGGGCCAUGAGAGUGGUAGCCCGGAGAUGGACACUGAGACAAGGGUCCAGGCCCUAAGGGGCGCAGCAACCGCGAAACCUCCACAAUGCACUCACGUGCGAUGGGGCUAUCUCGAGUGCCAGCUGAUGAAGGUGGCUUUUCCUAGGUCUUCAAAGCCUUGGGAAUAAGAGGGGGGCAAGACUGGUGUCAGCCGCCGCGGUAACACCAGCCCCUCGAGUGGUGGGGAUGAUUAUUUGGCCUAAAGCGUCCGUAGCCGGCCGUGAAAGUCUUCCGUUAAAUCCAGCGUCUCAAGCGUUGGACCGCGGGAGAUACUACAUGGCUAGAGAGUGGGAGAGGUCAGCGGUAUUCUGGGGGUAGGGGCGAAAUCCUUUGAUCCCCGGAGGACCACCAGUGGCGAAGGCUGCUGACUAGAGCACGUCUGACGGUCAGGGACGAAAGCUGGGGUAGCGAACCGGAUUAGAUACCCGGGUAGUCCCAGCCGUAAACGAUGCAUGCUAGGUGUUGGGUUGGCCAC